rnacentral:lncRNA from 1 species
CAAUGGGUGUGGCACGUUGGCCACUGGCUCACGCACACGCUAACAUCUACAACAGCACGUCCGCCAAAACUGCGGGGUCGCAAACCAAGUCGACGUGCCUACCUCCCCCUGAUCCUCCUGUGGCUAAUUGACCGUGGGCCGACCCCACACCGACCCUGGUCACCACUGCCCUUCGCCUAGCCCCUAGCGCGAAAGCCUCCGAGCUCCGAUCCCGUAUCAAUCAGCGAAAUCGGCCAUCCCGGCAAGUAAAGCUCUUCUCCAUGGUACAGGCGGUCCAGCUGCUGCCAGAACGCUUAGAUCUCAGCAGGCGACAUCAUGCGGCCAGAGAACUUGACCUUGAUGGGGUUGACGUUCUGGCCGAUGCGGCGCAUGUUCUGGUUCGCGCCCACGCGGCCAGCGUUCACCUUCUCGGGGUAGACGCCGUCAGCAGGGUGCAGGUACUGCACCUUGCCGUCGGGGAAGACGCGGUAGAAGCAGGGGGUCAGCUUGAACUUGUUGCGGAGCUGGGUCGUCAGGGCGAGGCACUGCUCCUUCUUGCCGAACUUCAGCAGGUUGGGGCCCUGGCGCAUGAUAGCGGCACCGCCAGUGGGCAUCUCGAAGAUCUGCUCCUUCUUAGCCUCCCAGGUGAUGACGUAGAACUCCUCAGUCUGAGCCUUGCGCAGCAGACCGCCGGUGCUGCCACCGAAAAUCGGGCUGGGAGUGUCGGGGUUCAGGGUCGGCACAGUCCAGGCGGGCUUCUCAGCAGCCUUCUUGGCAGCAGCAGGGGCAGCCUCAGCCUCGGCGCGGACCACCACGGCGCGGCGAGCAGCCGGGCGAGCGGCAACAGCGACGCGCGAUGAAGCGCGAGUGGCAGCGGGCGCCUGGGUGCGCAUCAUGACGGCCAUUUUGGCUUGUUGUGAGUAGCAGUGGGGUC